UGGACCAAUGAUGACGACUCAGGUUGUUUGGGCCAUGGAUGGUGAAUAAUAUGUGUCUGGAACUGUGAGGUCCAA